GGUGGUUCUGUAGGUUCGAGCAAAGCACAAGAAAGUUUGUCUUCACAAAGACAGUCCUUUGGGAGAAACAAUCCUUGAAUGCUACAAUUAUGGUUGUCGCAAUGUGUUCUUGCUUGGAUUUGUUUCAGCAAAGACAGAGAGUGUAGUGGUUCUUCUUUGUAGAGAGCCUUGUUUAAGUGUUAAUGCAUUGAAGGACAUGAAUUGGGACCUGAGUCAGUGGUGCCCCCUGAUUGAUGAUCAUUGUUUUCUGCAAUGGCUUGUCAAGAUCCCAUCUGAACAAGAGCAGUUGAGGGCACGCCAGAUCAAUGCUCAAUAGAUAAACAAGGUAGAAGAACUUUGGAAGACAAAUCCUGAGGCUUCCCUUGAGGAUCUUGAAAAGCCCAGUGUGGAUCAUGAUGAACCUUAGCUUGUAGCCUUGAAGUAUGAAGAUGCAUAUUAGGUGCCCUAGCUUGCAUUAUUGCUAAUAACAUUAUUGGUUAGCAACAUGUGAGGGUUGUGAUGGAAAUUACAGUUUACAUGUAAAGGUUGUGAAGAUUUUUUGCAGUGAUUUUUGGAGUUGGCAAUAUUUUUGGAUUUGAAAUGUGGCAGGGAAAUUUUAAUAUUUUUUUUCCUAUAUGCUAAUCUUGUAAUAAUUUUUGGUUGGUUUCGAACAAUAGAAUGUAUGGGGAUAGUUUUGUGUUAAAUAGAUUGUUCGGAUCAUCCUUUGUAAUAAUUUUUUUUUUUAUUCGGACUAUAGUUUUUGCUGGAACCAAAUGUGAAAAUCUGUACUCGAGUAUGUUCUUGAGAAUUGAAAUGUGAAUUUUUCAUAUUCAAUUUUAUCAAAUAUUUCUCAUA